GGUCCGUUGGUGUAAUGGGCAAACACAACCUAACCGCCUGCUAGUCGUGUCUUUACGGGGCCUUCUUUCAGUACGAGGGAAGUUACCGGUUCGACUCUGGUGCGGAUCA